GAUUUGUGGUGUCUAUUUGGUGGAGGAACAGAGUGGUUCCAGUGCCAAAAUUUUACACCCCAGCCCAAGUGUGAGUGGACAAGUCCGGAGUGGGCCAGAAGCUCAGUAGUGACUGAAAUUGUGGUGUUUUUCGUAAGCUUCCGCAGCAUUGGAAGCCCUUUUGUAUGACUGUGCCGGACAUGAUGUGAUUUUGGGGUAUAUAGAAAGGUGGAAAGAAAAAAACAGGACUACAAUUCUUAACGCUGCUCAAUAGAGACACUCCUCAGACUGGGUGACUACUGAAGCUGUGCUUUCUGUCACUCACAAUGGAGCUUUUGCGGUGGCAUUCAGAGCCUCUCGUAGGCUGCAGAAGUGCACAAACAUAGUCGAUGCUGUAGUACGAGACUUUGUGGUAUAUUUCGACGCUCCUCUGCUCGUCGGAUAUUGAAUUAGGAAUUGAAGCCUGACAAGAGGGUGGAAAUCAUCUUCGAUAGUCGUGAGACGAAGAUACAGCAUUUUCCAUCGUGUGCACACCAAGAAAAACUCUCAUUGGAAAUUGUCUGUUGCUGAGGAGAAAAAUUAUCCCAUAGAAAGUGCAAUGUUGCACCUUUAAGCAGGACAUUUCUCAAAGUGCUUGUGAUUUCUCCUCGUAACAGCUCAGCAUGGAUGAUCCCAGCAAAUGGAAGCUCCAGCGACAACAAUACAGGGAUAUAUGAUCAAAUUAAUUGGCGAAUGCGGCAGUCAGACUGAUGGAAAUGUUCACCACGGAAUUGGC